AUCUACAAUGAUCUCUUACACCAUUCAAACAACAUUGAUCCACAAUAUAGGCACGUGCCAUUUUAUUCAGAUGGAGAGAUGCAACAGUGGAUGACAGUAAAGAGAGGAUUUCAAGAUGUGAAGAAAAAGAUGAAGGAAGGGAAAGUGAUCCGCAAUCAGCCGGUUCAGAGUUAAAGAGACAGCCCCCCCCCCUCCAUGUUAUUGUCACGAGGUGAUCGAGCUGACUUAGAUUCCUGCACGCAGACGGCUUCAUGCAGGUAUUCGUUGUCUAUCUUCCUGUUGUGUACACACAGUCCGAUCAUCUGAAAACUCAAGAGACAUAAACAGCUCGUGCUCUUCUUCAAACUCGCUGUAGCUCAAUCUGCACCAUGAACUGCAUGAGACCCAACUGGGACGGCUGUAGGACAACGCACAAAGAGACAUGAUGCUCCGACUCACGUUUCAACACAUUCAUACUUACUGUAUUCAAUAUGACACAUUUAUAAAUACACACAACUACUGCAUAGAGUCAGGGCCGGAGUGAGGGGAUGGCUUCUGGGGCUCCGGCCUUGACAUGUUUCCUCAAAAGCCCUAAAUCUUUUGGGUUGGUUGAAAUACCUUUAACUUUUUGUCAUUUACCUCCAGUCUCUCUAACUGGACUCUAUUUAAAAUAGGUUUCUAGAUUGGUCCGAAACCUGGGAGGCAGUAGCUCAGUCCGUAGGGAGUCGGGUUGGGAACUAGGAGGGUCACUGGUUCAUGUCCCCAUACGGACCGAAGUACCGAGUGUGGACUGGUAGCUGGAGAGAUGCCAGUUUACCUUCUCUUGAGCAAGGCAGGGAAUCGUUGCGUUUCUGUACAUUAUAGUGUGGUUUUAGACCUAAGAUAUAUAAUAUAAAAUAUAUAUACAUAAGAUUUAUAUACAAACUUAUGUUAUGAUUUAACACUAUCAAUUGAAUUGAAUUGAUCAUUAAAAGGUAUUAAAUUACAUUUUGUGUGGUACUAAAACAAUCUAAAAAAAAGUCUUAUAUUGAAUUAAAAAAAACUGUACAAGCUGCUGCAGUUUACUUGUAUUCAUUACAAUAUGCUGCAAUUGUUAACUAUACAAAUUCUAUAUCACCCAAUACCUACUGACAUUGAUUUCUGAGAAAAAAUACAAUUACUUAAAAACAGUGAUUUUAUGCUGGAUCACGCUGAUGUAAUGAACUGACACUCAGAAGAUAGAGACGCUUCUCUAUUGAUGUGUACACUUUAACUGUAUCAUCCCUGAACAUAUUACUCCAUCAUAUACAAUAUGAGUUCCCCAAACAGAGAGGCCACCUGACUGCGCCUGAAGCAGGGAGGUUAAAUCAAACACACCUGCAUGGGAACCGUCCCCUUCAGGUGCAAUCAAUCACACCAUGACAGGCUAAAUAUCUACAGACUUCCUCCCUUUGGGAACUUUCUUCUUCCCCAACCAUGAUGUGUGUAUCCUAGAUGUUGAUUUACUUCAUUGCUGUUUUGAUGUUCCUGUUUGGAUCAUUGUUAAUGAAUGAUGUUUUAAAACACACUAGGAAAAUAUAUUAAGCCUUUUUGUUUGUCCUUCCUUACUGUCUCACGGGUUGAACUGUUUCCAGUGCACCAUGGGACAAAUGAAGUGUUUGCAUCAAUGUACUAAGCCAAGAGACUGACAGGUAAUGUGAGCUUGAGGGUUUGUUCCUCGCUAAGGUGUAACAUGUUUAACUCUCGCCAACUUUAUUCUGUUCCAACGUAAAGGCCUUAGUACGUGUCGACAGUCACAUAAGGUGAAAUGUUUUCAACAUCACAGAUCUGUGUAAUUUAGGCCUAACUCAGCAAUGUUUGCAUAUUUCUUCCUGUUUUGAUUUGUAAGUGGCUUGAAAAACAAAACUUGGAAUAAUGGGACACAGUUCUCGCAGAGGAUAUGGAAAAACAAAUUUUUGACACGCCUAGAUUUGCACUGGCUGCCUGUUGCUGAGAAGAUCCACAGACGAGAUAACUCCGUCCGCUUGUCUCCUGGUUGGGUCCUUACAUGACUGAAGACCUGCAAGGUGAUGUGUGAAUGUGGGGCUGUUGUGAUAUGAAUAUUGCAUGUAUAGAUUUGAUUGGACUGGACAAGAGGUUAACAAAUAAAAUGGUUGGUUCGCUCAUUAAAAAGACAAUUCAACCACAGUGUAACAGUUUAAUUACUAAACAGAUCACCCUAAAACCUCAUCUACAUAAAAAGCAUACUAUGAGACCUUAAACAUCUGCAACAUUGAGUGGAGGAUAGUUUUGAAUACACAAGGUUGUUAGUGUUUACUAGUAAUUAGAAAAACAAACGAACAGAAUAUUAACUCCACAAUGUGCCUUUUGAUAUAGUUGACUUUAUUUGCAGUUACACUGAGGCAAUGUUUAUAUUCCAGAUUAACACGAUGUCACAUGAUUAUCUGGACUGCAGGUUCACAGUUCAUUUUCUGCAAUGGUGGGCUGUAUUCACACAACAAUCAUCCUAAAGUGUAAAGUAACUCCUUACUGGCUCAGUGAGGAGAAACUGCCUAAUACUGCUGACACAGCGUUGGGAAAAUAAGAGUCCCAACUUCCUCUUCAUCAGCAAGUUGAACAGCUGCUCCCUGCAGUGGCAGAAACGCAUCACUGCAGCUUGGAAAGUUUGAAUUAAUUCACUAAUUCUUGGAUGUCUCAUGUGGAGGGGGAGAAACCUUUGCUGUGGUUGUGGUUCACAUUGUUUUUAGCAUUGAGGAUUGGUGUCCAUCAGUUAGGUGUAAGAAAAAGGAUUAUA